rnacentral:rRNA from 1 species
UACGAAGGGGGCUAGCGUUGUCCGGAUUUAUUGGGCGUAAAGAGCGUGUAGGCGGCUAGGUAGGUCCGUUGUGAAAACUCGAGGCUCAACCUCGAGACGUCGAUGGAAACCAUCUAGCUAGAGUCCGGAAGAGGAGAGUGGAAUUCCUGGUGUAGCGGUGAAAUGGGCAGAUAUCAGGAAGAACACCCGUGGCGAAGGCGGCUCUCUGGUACGUGACUGACGCUGAGACGCGAAAGCGUGGGGAGCGAACAGG